rnacentral:rRNA from 1 species
UAGGGAAUCUUCGGCAAUGGGGGGAACCCUGACCGAGCAACGCCGCGUGAGUGAAGAAGGUUUUCGGAUCGUAAAGCUCUGUUGUUAAGGAAGAACGAGUGUGAGAAUGGAAAGUUCAUGCUGUGACGGUACUUAACCAGAAAGGGACGGCUAACUACGUGCCAGCAGCCGCGGUAAUACGUAGGUCCCGAGCGUUGUCCGGAUUUAUUGGGCGUAAAGCGAGCGCAGGCGGUUAGAAAAGUCUGAAGUGAAAGGCAGUGGCUCAACCAUUGUAGGCUUUGGAAACUGUUUAACUUGAGUGCAGAAGGGGAAAGUGGAAUUCCAUGUGUAGCGGUGAAAUGCGCAGAGAUAUGGAGGAACACCAGUGGCGAAGGCGACUCUCUGGUCUGUAACUGACGCUGAGGCUCGAAAGCGUGGGUAGCAAACAGG